GAGGCGGUUGGUGCGGUUGUUGAAGUCGCGUUUGUGCGGUGCUGCUAUUCGUUUCAUCGAUUUAACCAGGUUUUACGCUCCGCGCUUUGUUAACGUGCCUGGUCUAAUCGUGUUGUGUACGUGAGUGGCGUGUAACUAGUGAUAUAGCAAGGAAGGACAGUCAUUAACGUGCGCGAUCCGCCGCAAAUCAGCCACGAUGCAUUGCAACGGGCACGUUCAGUGGGCUGCGCGGCCGUUGCGACGAGCUGCAUUGCUGAUUCUUCGCUUGCCUGAGACUCGCAAUUGUCGAGCGGGUUGCAUCCGUUGUUACGUUGCCCGAAGACCGCAGUAAAUGUGAUUUGCAGCAUACAUCCCGCCCAAGGCAUGCUGGGAUGAUCUACUAUCAGGCAGCUUGGAAGCUUCCAGACGCCGAUAUGCCUUACGUUCGGUGCAGCCGAGGUUAUGAACUGUCAAGUGGAAGAUGCCCCUUGAGGAAAACAAUUAGGAUCGACUGUCCAGCGUGGAGAUUGCGGAAUCAGCAGCUGACAUAUUGACUGAUGAAACAUGAUGGUGCGUGCAGCAAGAGAGGGUUUGAC